rnacentral:lncRNA from 1 species
GUCAUAGUGGUUCAGUUGCAUCAGAAACACGCAACCACUCUAUUAGUAAAGAGUUGCUGCGGGGUAAAGAUGGGGUUGGGCCCAAUAACUGUUAGGUGAGGGAUCCAAUGAUGGCUUUGCAUCAGCUUAUGAACAGUGGGUCUAGUUUAACUUAGAAGUGCGGGCAAUAACUGUUAGGUGAGCCCGCAUGACUUAGAGAUCA